rnacentral:lncRNA from 1 species
GUUUAUGGUGCGCCGAUGGGUCCAUGGUCCAUGCGCCUGUUGCUGUGGACCAGGCGGCUAACCAGAUCACUAAAUCAAUUGAUUUUUGACCAAUUUUGAUCUGAUUUGACUCGGGUUUGACCCAAUUGAGUCUUCUUUCUUCAUUCUUCAAUUUUUGGGUCAAUUUAACUCCGUUUUGCGUAAAAUUUGCGCCGUUGGAAUCCUCUUUCCUUGUUCUUUCUAUUGAUGACCUCUUUUUUUGCAAAAUAUAAUAACAAGUAUCAAUUUU